UCGAGGGGUAUAGGCUUUCGGGCCUAGAGACCGGCGCACGGGUGCGUAACGCGUAUGCAAUCUGCCUUGUACAAAGGGAUAGCCCAGAGAAAUUUGGAUUAAUACCUUAUAGUAUAUAGAUGUGGCAUCACAUUUAUAUUAAAGAUUUAUCGGUACAAGAUGAGCAUGCGUCCCAUUAGCUAGUUGGUAUGGUAACGGCAUACCAAGGCAAUGAUGGGUAGGGGUCCUGAGAGGGAGAUCCCCCACACUGGUACUGAGACACGGACCAGACUCCUACGGGAGGCAGCAGUGAGGAAUAUUGGACAAUGGGCGCAAGCCUGAUCCAGCCAUGCCGCGUGCAGGAUGAAGCAUCUAUGGUGUGUAAACUGCUUUUACACGGGAAGAAACCCUGGCUCGUGAGCCAGAUUGACGGUACCGUAGGAAUAAGGAUCGGCUAACUCCGUGCCAGCAGCCGCGGUAAUACGGAGGAUCCAAGCGUUAUCCGGAAUCAUUGGGUUUAAAGGGUCCGUAGGCGGUUUUAUAAGUCAGUGGUGAAAUCCGGUAGCUCAACUAUCGAACGGCCAUUGAUACUGUAGAACUUGAAUUAUUGUGAAGUAACUAGAAUAUGUAGUGUAGCGGUGAAAUGCUUAGAUAUUACAUGGAAUA
rnacentral:rRNA from 1 species